CAUGUCCUUUUGUUUAAAAUAUAAGGUCGUAUCUGCUCAAUGAUAAUUUAAAUAGCCGCAGUAAUUUGACUGUGCAAAGGUAGCAUAAUCAUUAGUUUUUUAAUUGAAAGCUGGAAUGAAGGAUUUGAUAAGGAAAAAACUGUCUCAAUUUAAUUGAUUGAAGUUUAUUUUUAAGUUAAAAAGCUUAAAUAAAUUAAAAAGACGAGAAGACCCUAUAGAGUUUAAUAAUUUAUUUUAAUAAAAUAUAAGGUUUAAAAAUUUUUUGUUAAUAAUAAAAUAUUUGGUUGGGGUGAUUUAAAAAUUUGAAAAACUUUUUAUAUUAUAAAACAUUUGUUUAUGAAUAAUUGAUCCUUAUUUAAGAUUAAAAGAAUAAAUUACCUUAGGGAUAACAGCGUAAUUUUUUUAAAGAGUUCAAAUCGAAAAAAAAGUUUGCGACCUCGAUGUUGGAUUAAAGUUAAUUUUUAAUGUAGAAGUUAAAAUAUUUAGUCUGUUCGACUAUUAAAACU
rnacentral:rRNA from 1 species